rnacentral:rRNA from 1 species
UACGAAGGGGGGCUAGCGUUGCUCGGAAUCACUGGGCGUAAAGGGUGCGUAGGCGGGUUCUUAAGUUAGAGGUGAAAGCCUGGAGCUCAACUCCAGAACUGCCUUUAAUACUGGGAAUCUUGAGUUCGGAAGAGGUGAGUGGAACUGCGAGUGUAGAGGUGAAAUUCGUAGAUAUUCGCAAGAACACCAGUGGCGAAGGCGGCUCACUGGUCCGAUACUGACGCUGAGGCACGAAAGCGUGGGGAGCAAACAGGG